rnacentral:rRNA from 1 species
CAGUAGCCGCGGUAAUACGGAGGGUGCAAGCGUUAAUCGGAAUUACUGGGCGUAAAGCGCACGCAGGCGGUCUGACAAGUCAGAUGUGAAAUCCCGGGGCUUAACCUGGGAACUGCAUUUGAAACUGUCAGGCUGGAGUCUUGUAGAGGGGGGUGGAAUUCCAGGUGUAGCGGUGAAAUGCGUAGAGAUCUGGAGGAAUACCGGUGGCGAAGGCGGCCCCCUGGACAAAGACUGACGCUCAGGUGCGAAAGCGUGGGGAGCAAACAGGAUUAGAUACCCGUGUAGUCCCUGUCUCUUAUAU